ACAAUACGUUUAUUAUUCAAUGAUAUCGAGAAAAAAAAAUUUUUUUUUUUGUUUUAAGUUUUUAACAACACGAUUUAUUGUCGGAUUCUUGUCUAGAUAUCGAAUCACGAGUGGGAGCAGGAAUUGUCAAUAAAUAUUGCGACCAAAAGAAGGGAUAGAUUAUUUUAGUAUAAAUACAGAAGUAGCGACUGCUCGAUCGUCAAUCGUCAAUAUCUCGUUGUCUAUGUGCAAUUCGUCAUCUUUAACGUGUCAUUGAAAUUGUCUUCAGACUCACGUUCGUUUGUUGGAAUCGUAUUUUCGAAGUUUUCAUAAGUAA